rnacentral:rRNA from 1 species
CUCCGGUUGAUCCUGCCGGACCUGACUGCUAUCGGAUUGGUACUAAGCCAUGCGAGUCAUUGUAGCAAUACAAGGCGGACGGCUCAGUAACACGUAGUCAACCUAACUCGUGGACGUGGAUAACCUCGGGAAACUGAGAAUAAACCACGAUAGAUCAUAGUGCCUGGAAUGGCUUAUGGUCCAAACAGUUUACUGCCAUGGGAUGGGACUGCGGCCUAUCAGCUUGUUGGUGAGGUAAUGGCUCACCAAGGCUAUAACAGGUACGGGCUCUGAGAGGAGAAGCCCGGAGAUGGGUACUGAGACACGGACCCAGGCCCUAUGGGGCGCAGCAGGCGAGAAACCUUAGCAAUGUGCGAAAGCACGACUGGGUCAGUCCGAGUGAUUCCUGAUAAAGGAGUCUUUUAUCUGUCCUAAAAGCACAGGUGAAUAAGGGGUGGGCAAGUCUGGUGUCAGCCGCCGCGGUAAUACCAGCACCUCGAGUGGUCAGGACGUUUAUUGGGCCUAAAGCAUCCGUAGCCGGCUUUGCAAGUCUCCGGUUAAAUCCACCUGCUCAACAGAUGGGCUGCUGGAGAUACUACAAAGCUAGGGAGUGGGAGAGGCAGACGGUAUUCAGUGGGUAGGGGUAAAAUCCUCUGAUCCAUCGAGGACCACCAGUGGCGAAGGCGGUCUGCCAGAACACGUUCGACGGUGAGGGAUGAAAGCUGGGGGAGCAAACCGGAUUAGAUACCCGGGUAGUCCCAGCUGUAAACGAUGCAAACUCGGUGAUGCAUUGGCUUAUGGCCAAUGCAGUGCCGCAGGGAAGCCGUUAAGUUUGCCGCCUGGGAAGUACGGACGCAAGUCUGAAACUUAAAGGAUUGGCGGGGGAGCA